AGUGGGGAAUCUUAGACAAUGGGCGCAAGCCUGAUCUAGCCAUGCCGCGUGAGUGAAGAAGGCCUUAGGGUCGUAAAGCUCUUUCGCCUGUGAAGAUAAUGACUGUAGCAGGUAAAGAAACCCCGGCUAACUCCGUGCCAGCAGCCGCGGUAAUACGGAGGGGGUUAGCGUUGUUCGGAAUUACUGGGCGUAAAGCGCGCGUAGGCGGACAUUUAAGUCAGGGGUGAAAUCCCGGGGCUCAACCCCGGAACUGCCCUUGAUACUGGGUGUCUUGAGUUCGAGAGAGGUGAGUGGAAUUCCGAGUGUAGAGGUGAAAUUCGUAGAUAUUCGGAGGAACACCAGUGGCGAAGGCGGCUCACUGGCUCGAUACUGACGCUGAGGUGCGAAAGUGUGGGGAGCAAACAGGAUUAGAUACCCUGGUAGUCCACACCGUAAACGAUGAAUGCCAGUCGUCGGGCAGCAUGCUGUUCGGUGACACACCUAAUGGAUUAAGCAUUCCGCCUGGGGAGUACGGUCGCAAGACUA
rnacentral:rRNA from 1 species